UGGGGAAUAUUGCACAAUGGGCGCAAGCCUGAUGCAGCCAUGCCGCGUGUGUGAAGAAGGCCUUCGGGUUGUAAAGCACUUUCAGCGAGGAGGAAGGGUAGUGUGUUAAUAGCACAUUGCAUUGACGUUACUCGCAGAAGAAGCACCGGCUAACUCCGUGCCAGCAGCCGCGGUAAUACGGAGGGUGCAAGCGUUAAUCGGAAUUACUGGGCGUAAAGCGCACGCAGGCGGUUUGUUAAGUCAGAUGUGAAAUCCCCGCGCUUAACGUGGGAACUGCAUUUGAAACUGGCAAGCUAGAGUCUUGUAGAGGGGGGUAGAAUUCCAGGUGUAGCGGUGAAAUGCGUAGAGAUCUGGAGGAAUACCGGUGGCGAAGGCGGCCCCCCUGGACA
rnacentral:rRNA from 1 species